GAACGACAGACAUAAAAUGAAUAAAUCGGUCUUGAUGUUUAAAAUAUUAAACAACCACUCAGCUCCGAACUUAAAGGAUAAAUUUAUAACAAGGGACAUAAAUCUUAGUACUAAUUAUAAUCUCAGAAAUGCUGAUAUAAAUCUUUCAGUUCCUAAACCACGUACUGAAUAUUUAAAAAAGAGUUUUGGAUAUAGCGGGGCUGU